UACGUAGGGAGCAAGCGUUGUCCGGAAUCAUUGGGCGUAAAGCGCGCGUAGGCGGCCCUGUAAGUCCGUUGUGAAAGUCAAAGGCUCAACCUUUGAAAGCCGAUGGAUACUGCAGGGCUAGAGUCCGGAAGAGGCGAAGUGGAAUUCCUGGUGUAGCGGUGGAAUGCGCAGAUAUCAGGAGGAACACCAAUAGCGAAGGCAGCUCGCUGGGACGGUACUGACGCUAAGGCGCGAAAGCGUGGGGAGCGAAC
rnacentral:rRNA from 1 species